rnacentral:rRNA from 1 species
AAAGGGUGAGUAAUGCAUGGGAACGUACCCCGGACACCGGGAUAACCACGGGCUUCGGCCCUUUAGCGAAAGUGUGGCUAAUACCGGAUGAUGUCUACGGAUCAAAGGUGGGGAUCUUCGGACCUGCCGGUCUGGGAGCGGCCCAUGUCCUAUCAGCUUGUUGGUGGGGUAAAGGCCUACCAAGGCGCCGACGGGUAGCGGGACUGAGAGGUUGGCCCGCCACAUCGGGACUGAGACACUGCCCGGACACCUACGGGUGGCUGCAGUAACGAAUAUUGGGCAAUGGGCGCAAGCCUGACCCAGCAAUGCCGCGUGCAGGAGGAAGCCCUUCGGGGUGUAAACUGCUGUCAGGGGCUAGCAAACAAUGGGCGUUAAUAGCGUCCGGCGUUGAGCCGCCCCAAAGGAAGCCUCGACUAACUCUGUGCCAGCAGUCGCGGUAAGACAGAGGAGGCAAGCGUUGUUCGGAAUCAUUGGGCUUAAAGCGGGUGUAGGCGGCUAGGCAAGUGUCGUGUGAAAUCCAACGGCUCAACCGUUGAACUGCACGGCAAACUGCCUGGCUCGAGGUCGGUAGAGGUGCCUGGAACUCUUGGUGGAGCGGUGAAAUGCGUAGAUAUCAAGAGGAACGCCAGAGGCGAAAGCGGGGCACUGGGCCGAUUCUGACGCUGAGAUCCGAAAGCGUGGGGAGCAAACAGGAUUAGAUACCCUGGUAGUCCACGCCGUAAACGAUGCACACUAGACGUCGGAGGUUCUGACACCGUCGGCGUCGCAGCAAAAGUACUAAGUGUGCGGCCUGGGGAGUACGGCCGCAAGGUUAAAACUCAAAGGAAUUGACGGGGGCUCACGCAAGCGGUGGAGCAUGUGGCUUAAUUGGAAGCAACGCGAAGAACCUUAGCCGGGUUUGACAAGCUUGGAUGCCUCUUGGGGAUAAUUCAGGUGGGUUACCCUUAGGGGUGAAACUUGCACAGGUGUUGCAUGGCUGUCGUCAGCUCGUGCUGUGAAGUGUCGGGUUAAGUCCCUUAACGAGCGAAACCCCUAUCGCUAGUUGCCAGCGGGUCAUGCCGGGGACUAUAUCGAGACAGCCGGCGUUAAGCCGGAGGAAGGUGGGGAUGAAGUCAA